GGCGCUGUCUACGAGUCGG
rnacentral:snRNA from 1 species